GCCUACGGGGCGCAGCAGUGGGGAAUAUUGCGCAAUGGGCGAAAGCCUGACGCAGCGACGCCGCGUGAGGGAUGAAGGUCUUCGGAUCGUAAACCUCUGUCAGCAGGGAAGAACGGUCACUGUGCUAAUCAGCAGUGAAUUGACGGUACCUGCAAAGGAAGCACCGGCUAACUCCGUGCCAGCAGCCGCGGUAAUACGGAGGGUGCGAGCGUUAAUCGGAAUUACUGGGCGUAAAGAGCUCGUAGGCGGUAUGUCAAGUCAAGGGUGAAAUCCCCGCGCUCAAAGUGGGAAAUGAGUUUGAAAAU
rnacentral:rRNA from 1 species